rnacentral:snRNA from 1 species
GUGCUCGCUUCGGCAGCCCAUAUACUAAAAUUUGAACGAUACAGAGAAGAUGCCCCUGCGCAAGGAUGACACGCAAAUUCGUGAAGCGUUCCAUAUUUAA